rnacentral:rRNA from 1 species
CGUGCGUUUGCCUCUUGGGAUUCCUGAGAAGUAUG